UACGUAGGGUGCAAGCGUUGUCCGGAAUUAUUGGGCGUAAAGAGCUUGUAGGCGGUUUGUCGCGUCUGCUGUGAAAUUUCGGGGCUCAACCCCGAACUUGCAGUGGGUACGGGCAGACUAGAGUGUGGUAGGGGAGACUGGAAUUCCUGGUGUAGCGGUGAAAUGCGCAGAUAUCAGGAGGAACACCGAUGGCGAAGGCAGGUCUCUGGGCCACUACUGACGCUGAGAAGCGAAAGCCAGGGGAGCGAACGGG
rnacentral:rRNA from 1 species